rfam:Brassica napus, WGS project CCCW01000000 data, contig: 7043
GUGCAAAGAUUUCCUCGGGUCGGACGGAGAUUGGCCCUCGAGUGCAAAGGCAGAAGGAAGCUUGACUGCAAGACCCACCCGUCGAGCAGGGACGAAAGUCGGCCUUAGUGAUCCGAUGGGGCGGAGCGGAAGGACCGUCGCUCAGC